rnacentral:tRNA from 1 species
GGAGGGAUGGCUCAGUGGUUAAGAGCACUUAUUCUCUCAGAGGAUCCAAGUUCGAUUCUCAGCCCCUCCA